rnacentral:tRNA from 1 species
AGGGGUGUAGCUCAAUUGGUAGAGUAGCGGACUCCAAAUCCGUUGGUUGCGGGUUCGAGCCCUGCCACCCCUG